UACGUAGGGUGCAAGCGUUAUCCGGAAUUAUUGGGCGUAAAGAGCUCGUAGGCGGUUUGUCGCGUCUGCUGUGAAAACUCGGGGCUUAACCCCGGGCCUGCAGUGGGUACGGGCAGACUAGAGUGCGGUAGGGGAGACUGGAAUUCCUGGUGUAGCGGUGAAAUGCGCAGAUAUCAGGAGGAACACCGGUGGCGAAGGCGGGUCUCUGGGCCGUAACUGACGCUGAGGAGCGAAAGCGUGGGGAGCGAACAGG
rnacentral:rRNA from 1 species